UUCCCUCAUCUGCUAAGUGCUGUUUUACUGAUAGCUACUCCUUACACAUUUGCAUGUCCUCCUUUCACUGAACUGUAGAUUCAUUCAAUGGGGAACAUGUCGUGAUUGAUUGAUGCUGAGCAUUGAGAAGGAUCCCUAUGUAGAAUGACCACUCUGGACCUCAGGCAGGACUCGGAAUAUAGGUCCUGGCCUCUUACUUCUUACUGGAGAAUUGAAGCAAAGAUCCUCACACUUCUCAGCGGGCCUUUGCAGCUGGGGUGAGCAUCAGUACUUCCUACUUUCACCAGGCCCUAGGCAUCCUGCAGCCCUUUACUUCCAGGGACCAGAGUACCUUC
rnacentral:lncRNA from 1 species